GUUUCUGCCUUUUUCAACUUUGAGAAGGUUUUGAUGCUGCGCGGUUUUUAUAGUUGAUCCACCAGAGCUUCUGGCCACUGCCGGAGCUGCUGCCGGGCCGGUUCAAAAUCGCAGCUACUUCGUGUUAAAAUUCCGAGCUGAUUAUGCUGCUGCGAAAAUGUGUGGGGCUGUGCUUUGAAGCUGCCUUUGAUUUCGAGUUGAGGCGAAAAGAACUUGAUGAGGCGUUUGGGUUAUGGAAUUUCGUUUUGAGGAUAUGGGCGCAGAAGUUAUGAAGAGCUUAUUUAAUUGUUGUUGUGAUGCUCUGU